GAGCACUAGCUUUGUACAUGAUUCACUUCCGUUCUGAGUUCACGGAAUAGUUUAUGUUGUAAUAUAAUUAAUUUAAUGCAUUCAUCUUUACUUUCUAAACUGAGACAAUGUUUGGUAAGAAACCCAAACAAGAAUCUGGAAAUCCUCCACGAAGAAAAGGAGCUGAUCUAAUGAAUCAAAUGGGAUUUGGAGGUAUGGAGGACAUGGAUGCAAUGGUCUAUGGUGGUGAUGAUGAUGAUGAUGAUCUUGAAGCUGAAUUAGCAGCUCUUACUGGAGAUGUUUCAGAGUCAAAAAAAGUUUCACCAAAGAAAAAGGGACCAGUUGAUCUGUCAGUCAUUGAGAGUAUGGCUGCUAAGAGUAUGCAAGACAUUGACAAUGAAGACAUGUCUGACACAGAAGACCCUGAUCUAAUGGCAGAACUUGAAGAGCUAUCUGAUGAUGAAUCUUCGCCACCUGUUGCCUCCACCUCCCAGCCUGCAACUAGCAGGCUAGCUCCAGCAGCGGGAAUGACUAGUCAGGACCGUCCACAGGUAUUAAGGGUGUCACCAAGCCCUUCCCCAUCACAAUCACAGGGUUUGAGUGGAGUUGAUCAGUUGACGUUGGUGCAAGAUCGGAUUACUAUGUACCAGAAAGCUCAGGAAACUGCACGUGCUGUUGGUGAUGACUUAAAACAAAGACGUUUGGACCGUGGUCUAAAGGCGCUGACAGAUAUUCUUCGUAAAGUAAAGGCUGGCAAGACAGUUAGUGAAGAGGAAAUUCCCCCACCAGUUGCUAUCACUGCUGGCGGUGGCAGUAACACACCCUCCCCAGCAGCAUCCACUCCUAGCCCCACACACCCUGGAGCAAGUGAACCAAAGCCUUCCUCUGGUCAUCCUGCUAGGCCUGCUGUUCAGGAUGUAUCUGGCUGCUCACAUAUAGAAACCAGUUCUUCAUCCAUCAGUGAUAAUAAAACUCGUGAGGUUUUAGAGUCUCGAAGAGACCAGUAUCGACAUGCAGCACUGGCUGCCAAGAAAGCUGGCGACCUAGUUACAGCAACAAAAUAUGUUAAAACUGCCAAGCAAUUUGACAUGGUCAUGGAAGCGCUUGACCAAGGGAAACCAGUGGACUUGUCUAGCAUGCCACCGCCACCUCCUUCUCUUUGUGCAUCAGGAACAUCCCCUGCACUAGAGGUCAGAGUUCAAAGGUCUGCUGUUCAAGGGACAGGAGAAAAGGACAGCACAGCCUCAGAGGAAAUAGAACUGCCAGCAGAACCUACUGAAGAGGAGUCCAAACGCCUGUUUCAAGCUCCAGAUGCUCCGAAGACAGUCAUAGAGGCCUUGGUGCAACGUCUAGAGAAGUACAGAAGUGCUGAGGACAGUGCUAAGACUGCUGGGGACAGUGGCAAGGCACGCAGGAUGGGACGCAUUGUCAAGCAAUAUGAAGAUGCUAUAAAAGCACAUAAGGCUGGUCGUGCUGUUGACUUUGACGAGCUACCCACGCCUCCAGGAUUUGGUCCAAUCCCUAAAGACUUGGGGCCUUCUCCUUCCAAGCGUGAAACCCCUCCUUCUGUUGCUGCACCAGCAGCAGGUGCAAAAACUCUACCAGCUCCUCCUCGGCCAGCUCCAAAGCCUCCUAUCGAUGCUGGAAAGCAGGUGCCAACAGUCAUACCUGCCACAUCUUCUGCUUCUGGGGCAUCCGCUGCUCAACCUCUAUCUAGAUCAGGACCUGCUCGUAAGAGCACAAACUCGCGACAAGAACAGCAGUUGUCUUUCUUGCGAGAACGCCAAGAGGAGUUUCGCACUGCUGCUUUGCAAGCAAAAAGAAACAAUGACAUUGAACUUGCAAAACAUCAUAUGCGCAUGAUGAAGGGACUAGAACCCAUGAUUGAAGCUCUGGAGGCAGGGUUGCCUGUUGAUCUCUCCCAGGUUCCACCAUCUCCCUUGGCUGAUGAAGAUAAUGAAGACAAGUAUGUUGUAGUGACAGCAGCAGACUGUACACCAACUGGUGACCGACAGGAGGUGUUUGCUCAACUGGAGCAAGACUUGCUCAGUCAGAUAAGGACAUGUGCUACAAAUGCCCAGCAUUUUACAAAACUUGGAGAUGUUCCUGCAGCAUCAAAAUUUCAGAAAUUGGAGCAGGGAUGUCGUAAGGAUCUAGAUUCACUGAAAAGUGCCCUUCGUCAUGGUGACCCAGUUCCUAAAUUUCACUAUGAGACCAGAAGUUUUUCUGUAGUUCAGUGUAACACAGAUUUGGGAGAUAGUGACAUGGAAGUAAGCAUCAUCAGAGGAAUUUCUUACAACCUUCCAUCAGGUUUCAGUGAAAAGGAUAUGGAUACUGCUGUCAAAUACGAGUUUGCAUUUCCAUCUGCUGAAGAGGCUCAAACAGGACAUACGCAGACCAUUAAAAACACAAUCAAUCCAGAGUAUGGUGAGGUCUUCAAACUUCAGAUUAAUCGCAAGUCACGGGGUUUUGCCAGAGUGAUAGAAAGGAAAGGAAUGAAGUUUGAUGUCUUCAUCAAGAGAGGAUUCUUCAAAGGAGACAAGGUAUUGGGGACUACAACUGUGAAGCUUAAUAUUUUGGAAACAAAAUGUACUCUGCAUGACAGUUUUGAUUUGAUGGAAGGUCGUAAAACUGUUGGGGGCAAACUAGAAGUAAAAAUCCGUGUCCGAGAUCCUUUCAAGAGUCGACAAGUGGAUGAAGUCAAAGAGAAAUGGCUGGUCAUUGACCAGUUUAUAAAGACAACAGGAUCAAAGAGUCAAAUAACUCCAGCCACAUCUGGGGAGCAAAAAAGUAAAUUGUGUUCCAUAGCAUGAAUUUUCAUCAGUACAUCAUCAUCUACUGUGUACAAGGUACUGAAAACUACAGGCAUUCUUGUCAAACAGUGUGUGCGCGGUAACCUAGAGAAGGAAGGGGGGAAACGUUGACAGCGGACACCAAACUCAUUCUAUCCCUUCACCAUCACCUCCAACUUUGGCAUCCAGAUGAGUUAAGAGACAAUCAGGUUUCAUGAAGGCAUCAUGCCUAGGUGCACUGCAGACAUUUUUAAACUUCCUUAUUUGUUCACGUGAUUGAAAAUAUCGACAGCAUCUUUUCUGUCCCCGUGUUGGCUUUUCCUUAGAAAAGCUUCAUUUAGUUUUCAUGUGAGAUCUCUGCCAAUAUUUAUGUAACUUGGCAACUGCUAUUCACCACUGGCGAAAGCUUUGAAAAGAAAAAAGCUUUGCAAAUAAACACAUAACAAUAUUUUGAGAAAAGCUUAAGAUAUAACAGUUUUUUUUAUUUUUACUGUUCCUUAUUUAUAUAUUGUGCUAAAAAUGUUUGGGUUAGGGUUAGUUGUGCAAUUAUGAAAGCAAUGCUUUUACACCAAUUACUGUUUAUAUGUGAACCUGAAUAUCUUUUAGAUGCUUUUUCAGUUUUUAUGAUGGCGUUUAUACAUUAUUGAUGCUUCACAUCUUUACAGUGAGGAAUCAUUUAUGUCACUGAAAGGAAACUGUAAUUCUCGUUUCAUGCAAGAUUUUUGUCUCUCAGGAUGAAACUACCUUUUGUUAUGCUACAGAUCUAAAAUACUUUGCAGUAUUAUUGCAGAUCUGCCGGAUUUAUUCUUUAUUAUUUAUUCUUUAUGCCCAUAUUUAGAUUGUCAGAAAGUUGCCAAGUAAGACACACUAAUGUGUUAUUAGCAUAAAGUAUUUUAUAGGGAAAGAGAAAGCAGAUGCAAAAAUAUUUUUGGAAAUUAAAAAAAUAGAUUUGACUUUUAUUCAUCCUUAUAUACAUUCAAAUAAUUUAAAAAAGAGUUGUGCCAUUUAUAAAGAUUAUGCUGGUAUUUUGAAACGUGUUCAAAACAUGUUAAUUAAGGAUAAUUUUUUUGCAUAGUUUAAUCAAUUAAUGUAUUUAAAUCAAACACAAUUGAGCUGUAGUAUUUAUGUUAAAAUUAUCUUUAUGUUGAAAUUUAGCUAAAUGCAUUCUUAUAUAGACAGAUAAUUGAUUCUGAUGUAUCUGUGGGUACAUAAGUACAUGUGUGGGGUAUUUUUUUCUCAAGUAGAUUUGUCUUUGGUUCAUAAUGAUAUCAAUUAUCAGUGUGUAAAAUGUCUAGAGAAAAUCAGUAGCCAUCAAGAAUUGUAUAUGUUUUGGCUGCAUUAUCAAAAUGAUUGUGAUACAUUGUGUUUUAAAUAUGUAUUCUCUUUACUUGAUUUUUCUUGUUUGGGUAAUGUGCAAACCCUGUUUUAAGUAUUAUUAUAACUUGUUAUAUUUUUAAAAAAUCCGUCCCACAUAGUUAUUGCAUAACUGGUAUCAGUGAACUUGAUCAUGAUGUCCACCUCUACAAUGUUUGUGUCUGUACAGCAUAUGACACUUUCCAACAUGUAACACUGAAAGUUGUGUUCUAGAGUAAAAUAAUUUGUAACGUAUUGCCUCUAAACCAUAUAUAAAAUAACAUAAAUUAAUCUUGUUUGUGAUAUCUGCAGCAAGAAUUUAAGCAUAAUAUGUUGCUUAUGCCUUAAAGUGUAACACUCCCCAAAAAAAAACACUUUACGAUUUAUGCCUAGCAGUAUGAAUAGAGCUAAUGUAGAUAAAAUCUAAAGGCUUUGAAGUUGUAAGUGCCUGCAAGUUUGUAAGGCAAACGGCCUGUAUCCAGGGCCAGUGUCAUCUGUCCCGGAAGAACACUGUACAACUGUGAUGUGAAUUAUCACUUAUCAAUAUUAAUAACCAUCUUUGGUCACUA
rnacentral:misc_RNA from 1 species